rnacentral:rRNA from 1 species
ACGGGAGGCAGCAGUGGGGAAUAUUGCACAAUGGGGGAAACCCUGAUGCAGCGAUGCCGCGUGAAGGAUGAAGGGUUUCGGCUCGUAAACUUUUAUCGAUAGUGAAGAAACAAAUGACGGUAACUAAGUAAGAAGCUCCGGCUAAAUACGUGCCAGCAGCCGCGGUAAUACGUAUGGAGCAAGCGUUAUCCGGAUUUACUGGGUGUAAAGGGAGCGUAGACGGCAAAGCAAGUCUGAAGUGAAAUCCCGGGGCUCAACCCCGGAACUGCUUUGGAAACUGUUUAGCUAGAGUGCAGGAGAGGUAAGCGGAAUUCCUAGUGUAGCGGUGAAAUGCGUAGAUAUUAGGAGGAACACCAGUGGCGAAGGCGGCUUACUGGACUGUAACUGACGUUGAGGCUCGAAAGCGUGGGGAGCAAACAGGAUUAGAUACCCUGGUA